GACGAACCGAGCGAACGUUGUUCGGAAUCACUGGGCUUAAAGGGCGCGUAGGCGGGUGCUCAAGUCCGUGGUGAAAUCCUCCGGCUCAACCGGAGAACUGCCUCGGAUACUGGGCGUCUCGAGUGUGGUAGGGUAUGCGGAACUAUCGGUGGAGCGGUGAAAUGCGUUGAUAUCGAUAGGAACUCCGGUGGCGAAGGCGGCAUACUGGACCGAACACUGACGCUGAGGUGCGAAAGCGUGGGGAGCAAACAGG
rnacentral:rRNA from 1 species